rnacentral:tRNA from 1 species
ACGGGUGUGGUGUAACGGCAGCACGCCAGUCUUCCAAACUGGCAGCGGCGGUUCGAUCCCGCCUACCCGUA